UUCAAAGGGGUGCUGCUUGCGGCUGAGACGGAGCGAAGGCUCCGAACCCUGGAACCUGAUCCGGAUAAUGCCGGCGUAGGAAUCG
rnacentral:ncRNA from 1 species